rnacentral:rRNA from 1 species
AGGCAGCAGUAGGGAAUAUUGCACAAUGGGCGAAAGCCUGAUGCAGCAACGCCGCGUGUGCGAUGAAGGCCUUCGGGUUGUAAAGCACUUUUCUGAGGGAAGAGGAAGGACGGUACCUCAGGAAUAAGUCUCGGCUAACUACGUGCCAGCAGCCGCGGCAACACGUAGGAGGCAAGCGUUAUCCGGAUUUACUGGGCGUAAAGCGCGUGCAGGCGGUUUGGUAAGUUGGAUGUGAAAGCUCCUGGCUUAACUGGGAGAGGUCGUUCAAUACUGCCAGGCUAGAGGACGGUAGAGGAAGGUAGAAUUCCUGGUGUAGUGGUGAAAUGCGUAGAUAUCAGGAGGAAUACCAGAGGCGAAGGCGGCCUUCUGGGCCGUUCCUGACGCUAAGACGCGAAAGCAUGGGUAGCAAACGGGAUUAGAAACCCCGGUAGUCCAUGCCGUAAACGAUGCAAACUUGGUGUUGGUGGUGUAAAAGCCAUCAGUGCCGUAGCUAACGCGAUAAGUUUGCCGCCUGGGGAUUACGGCCGCAAGGUUAAAACUCAAAUGAAUUGACGG